UAUGUAUUCAGAACUGUUGUUGUUUAGUCGCUACGGUCAUUAACAUAAAAAUUCGGAUUAUUAUAUAAAUACUUAUUUAAUUAAGUCAGAGAGUACGGUAGGUAGGGGCUUCCCAACCAUACAUAUGUUUGUCUCAACAAUAGCUCGCACGAGCUUGUGUUCUUUCUUUAUAUGUAUGCGACGUUAAAACAAGUUUCUAAAGAAUCCGCUGUCAGCAUCAGAUUGGAGAUUCAGUUCUUUAUAUUAAAUUCAAUAAGGCCCGUCCUUACAUUACCUUAUUGUAUUGUUAGGACGUUAAAUUCAAUAAGGCCCGUCCUUACGUUACCUUAUUGUGUUGUUAGGACGUUAAACUCAAUAAGGCCUGUCCUUGCAUUACCUUAUUGUAUUGUUAGGACGUUAAAUUCAAUAAGGCCUGUCCUUACCUUACCUUAUUGUAUUGUUAGGACGUUAAAUUCAAUAAGGCCUGUCCUUACCUUACCUUAUUGUAUUGUUAGGACGUUAAACUCAAUAAAGCCCGUCCUUACAUUACCUUAUUGUGUUGUUAGGACGUUAAACUCAAUACGGCAUGUCCUUACAUUACCUUAUUGUAUUGUUAGGACGUUAGCUCAAUAAGGCCCGUCCUUACAUUACCUUAUUGUAUUGUUAGGACGUUAGCUCAAUAAGGCCCGUCCUUACAUUACUUUAUUGUAUUGUUAGGACGUUAAACUCAAUAAGGCCCGUCCUUACAUUACCUUAUUGUGUUGUUAGGAUGUUAAACUCAAUAAGGCCCGUCCUUACAUUACCUUAUUGUGUUGUAUGGACGUUAAACUCAAUAAGGCCCGUCCUUACAUUACCUUAUUGUGUUGUUAGGAUGUUAAACUCAAUAAGGCCCGUCCUUACAUUUCCUUAUUGUGUUGUUAGGACGUUAAACUCAAUAAGGCCCGUCCUUACAUUUCCUUUUUGUGUUGUUAGGACGUUAAACUUAAUAAGUCCCGUCCUUACAUUACCUUAUUGUAUUGUUAGGACGUUCAACACAAUAAGGCCCGUCCUAACAUUACCUUAUUGUGUUGUUAGGACGUUAACCUCAAUAAGGCCCGUCCCAACAUUACCUUAUUGUGUUGUUAGGACGUUAACCUCAAUAAGGCCCGUCCUUACAUUACCUUAUUGUAUUGUUAGGACGUUAACCUCAAUAAGGCUCGUCCUUACAUUACCUUGUUUUGUUGCUAGGACGUUAAACUCAAUAAGGCCCGUCCUAACAUUGCUUUAUUAUGUUGUUAGGACGUUAAACAGUAAUAGUAAAGCAGUUAUUGAUGUAGUAAACGCCACAUUAUUUCACUUCCACACAUGGCAGUCAAAAACAUGGAUAAAGGGGCAGAUUAAUAUAUGUUUAUUAAAAUAAUUCAAUUGCAAAUAAUAUUUUAAACCGGAAAAUAUACCUGAAUAAAUGUAUGGUAAUUACACGUAUGCUAAUGGGCCACGUCUAGACAACACGUUCAUACAGUAACAGGUCACUAAACAACACCUCCAUACAGUAACAGGUCACUAGACAACACCUCCAUACAGUAACAGGUCACUAGACAACACCUCCAUACAGUAACAUAACACUAAACAACACCUCCAUGCAGAAACAUGUCACUAGACAACACCUCCA